rnacentral:lncRNA from 1 species
AAUACAGUAGAAUAUCACAUAAACAUCCAAUCCACCUAAAUUUAUAUGGCUUUGUUUCAUAAAGAAGACUAGCAAGAAGAAAGCAACAGAAAGUAUGAAAAAGAAAACUAACUACUUAGGUGAACAGUUUUGCUACCAUCCCCUCAUUUAUAAGAAACAAUUUAUGAGAAACAUGCCUGUUUUUCCAUUUGCAGGUUUCAACCCCUGCAUGCUUCUCAUAAGAUCAUCAUCAAUCCACAAUGGGACUAAGAAAUGAACUGCUUAAGGUCACAGGGUUCAUCAGAACUGGAGUUCAAGUUCUCUAACAUCAAAUCCAGCACUUUUUUCUUUCUUCUUUUUAAUCAUGGUAGGUUUCACAUUUGAUUUGUGGAUAUAACUUUCUAAGACCUAUAUAGACAAAAUUUUUUACUUUCAAACAGAAUAUUUGAACUAAUCUGAUAAGUUACUCCAAGUAAUAUAUCCAGUUAACCGACAAGAGUUUAUAUGUUCAUGUUUGUGGUCUUGAAUUUCUUAAAUUUGGUAGGAUAAUGUGAUGUUAAUAGCUGAACUUCUGGAGUAAAUCAAACUAUCAGUGUGAUUACAGACAAAUUGUUUACUCUCAGCCUCAAUUCCCUAUCAUCACAAUAUAAGUAAUAUAAGGAUCUACUCACAGAAUUGUUGAAUGUUAAAUAUAGCAUUGUACAUAAAGUGCUUAAUAAACACUAUUCAAUAAAUACUAGUUAUUACUAA